UCCUACGGGAGGCAGCAGUGGGGAAUAUUGCACAAUGGGCGCAAGCCUGAUGCAGCAACGCCGCGUGAGGGACGAAGGCCUUCGGGUUGUAAACCUCUUUUAGUAGGGAAGAAGCGACUGGGUUUUCCUGGGAGUGACGGUACCUGCGGAAAAAGCACCGGCUAACUACGUGCCAGCAGCCGCGGUAAUACGUAGGGUGCAAGCGUUGUCCGGAAUUAUUGGGCGUAAAGAGCUCGUAGGCGGUUUGUCGCGUCUGCUGUGAAAACCCGAGGCUCAACCUCGGGCCUGCAGUGGGUACGGGCAGACUAGAGUGCGGUAGGGGAGAUUGGAAUUCCUGGUGUAGCGGUGGAAUGCGCAGAUAUCAGGAGGAACACCAAUGGCGAAGGCAGAUCUCUGGGCCGUAACUGACGCUGAGGAGCGAAAGCAUGGGGAGCGAACAGGAUUAGAUACCCUGGUAGUCCAUGCCGUAAACGUUGGGAACUAGAUGUGGGGACCAUUCCACGGUCUCCGUGUCGCAGCUAACGCAUUAAGUUCCCCGCCUGGGGAGUACGGCCGCAAGGCUAAAACUCAAAGGAAUUGACGGGGGGCCGCACAAGCGGCGGAGCAUGCGGAUUAAUUCGAUGCAACGCGAAGAACCUUACCAAGGCUUGACAUAUACCGGAAACGGCUGGAAACAGUCGCCCCGCAAGGUCGGUAUACAGGUGGUGCAUGGUUGUCGUCAGCUCGUGUCGUGAGAUGUUGGGUUAAGUCCCGCAACGAGCGCAACCCUCGUCCUAUGUUGCCAGCACGUAAUGGUGGGAACUCAUGGGAUACUGCCGGGGUCAACUCGGAGGAAGGUGGGGAUGACGUCAAAUUAUCAUGCCCCUUAUGUCUUGGGCUUCACGCAUGCUACAAUGGCCGGUACAAAGGGCUGCGAUACCGCAAGGUGGAGCGAAUCCCAAAAAGCCGGUCUCAGUUCGGAUUGAGGUCUGCAACUCGACCUCAUGAAGUCGGAGUCGCUAGUAAUCGCAGAUCAGCAACGCUGCGGUGAAUACGUUCCCGGGCCUUGUACGACACCGCC
rnacentral:rRNA from 1 species